GAUGAACGCUGGCGGCGUGCCUAAUACAUGCAAGUCGAGCGAACAGACGAGGAGCUUGCUCCUCUGACGUUAGCGGCGGACGGGUGAGUAACACGUGGAUAACCUACCUAUAAGACUGGGAUAACUUCGGGAAACCGGAGCUAAUACCGGAUAAUAUAUUGAACCGCAUGGUGCAAUAGUGAAAGACGGUUUUGCUGUCACUUAUAGAUGGAUCCGCGCCGCAUUAGCUAGUUGGUAAGGUAACGGCUUACCAAGGCAACGAAGCGUAGCAGACAUGAGAGGGUGAUCGGCCGCACUGGAACGGAGACACGGUCCAUACUCCUACGGGAGGCAGCCGUAGGGAAUCUUCCGCAAUGGGCGGAAGCCUGACGGAGCAACGCCGCGUGAGUGAGGAGGGUCUUCGGAUCGUAAAACUCUGUUAUUAGGGAAGAACAAAUGUGUAAGUAACUAUGCACGUCUUGACGGUACCUAAUCAGAAAGCCACGGCUAACUACGUG
rnacentral:rRNA from 1 species